AUCAGCUUUCAGUAUCACUUUAAUGCGUCAUGAAGCUUGCUUGUGAUCAAGGCGAAAGGUAAUACUUUUAGAUUUAGAUGAAAUAUAGAUGAAAUCUCAGUUAAUGAACGACAUGACGGGGUUCUUCUAUGCACAGAUGAAGUCAGUGAGGCCUGGUGUCAAUGACGCUCUGGAUCUUCACACACCUGCCGGAGAUCCAGCAUCACACCUCGCAGCCCCAGAGUCGGACUGUGACCCAGAGUGCUCUGUCUCCUGGCCCAUGUCUCAUGUUGAUUGGUGGCCUCGUGUUGCCCGCUGAUCCAUUGUGAUGUCAUAUGUCUGUGCUGCUACCGGUUCCAUGGUAAACAGCCACUGAGGGAAGCUACAAAACCAGAAAGGUGAAAAAUGGGGCUGUAAAGUCGUGGUGGCAGUGCUGCAGUCCUGUGCUGCUCCCCUGAGCAAUUCCACAGCCUCUCAAACACAGAAGCAGCAUUUCAUGAAGAGAAGGUCAUAUUCACAGAGAAAGGGAUUUUGCCUUCUGGUCAAUCAAUGAGCAUCAAAUGAGAUGGACAGCACCCAUUUCCUGUUGUUCCUCACCUUCUGCAUAUAAAUCACACAGAUGCUGUCGCACCCUUGAGAUGAUGCCCUCAAAGGCGGCUCAUCUUCGAUUUGUUGUGGUUGUAGUGUUGCGUCGUGUUCUGGAGCCAUUCAAUCAAGAAUGAUGAGAAUGGCUCUUAACUCUUAAAAUGACAAACUUAUUUUACAACAUUAUGAUAAAUGUACUACUAUUCUUCCGUGUACACUUUCCCAAUUAAACAAAUUGCUC
ensembl:lncRNA